UGUUCCUACGGGAGGCAGCAGUGAGGAAUAUUGGUCAAUGGUCGGGAGACUGAACCAGCCAAGCCGCGUGAGGGAGGAAGGUACAGAGUAUCGUAAACCUCUUUUGUCAGGGAACAAAGACUGGGACGCGUCCCCGGAUGAGUGUACCUGAAGAAAAAGCAUCGGCUAACUCCGUGCCAGCAGCCGCGGUAAUACGGAGGAUGCGAGCGUUAUCCGGAUUUACUGGGUGUAAAGGGAGCGUAGACGGCAUUGCAAGUCUGAUGUGAAAGAUUGGAGCUCAACCCCAGGCCUGCAUUGGAAACUGU
rnacentral:rRNA from 1 species